UACGAAGGGGGCUAGCGUUGCUCGGAAUCACUGGGCGUAAAGCGUACGUAGGCGGCUUUGUAAGUUAGAGGUGAAAGCCCGGGGCUCAACUCCGGAAUUGCCUUUAAGACUGCAUCGCUUGAAUCAUGGAGAGGUGAGUGGAAUUCCGAGUGUAGAGGUGAAAUUCGUAGAUAUUGGGAAGAACACCGGUGGCGAAGGCGGCCAUCUGGACCGCAACUGACGCUGAGGCGCGAAAGCGUGGGGAGCAAACAGG
rnacentral:rRNA from 1 species